ACGGAAUAGAUACCCGGGUAGUCCAUGCCGUAAACGUUGGGCACUAGGUGUGGGGGACAUUCCACGUUUUCCGCGCCGUAGCUAAACGCAUUAAAGUGCCCCGCCUGGGGAGUACGGCCGCAAGGCUAAAACUCAAAGGAAUUGACGGGGGCCCGCACAAGCGGCGGAGCAUGCGGAUUAAUUCGAUGCAACGCGAAGAACCUUACCAAGGCUUGACAUGGACCGGAUCGCUGCAGAAAUGUGGUUUCUCCUUUUGGGGCCGGUUCACAGGUGGUGCAUGGUUGUCGUCAGCUCGUGUCGUGAGAUGUUGGGUUAAGUCCCGCAACGAGCGCAACCCUCGUUCCAUGUUGCCAGCACGUGAUGGUGGGGACUCAUGGGAGACUGCCGGGGUCAACUCGGAGGAAGGUGGGGACGACGUCAAAUCAUCAUGCCCCUUAUGUCUUGGGCUUCACGCAUGCUACAAUGGCCGGUACAAAGGGUUGCGAUACUGUGAGGUGGAGCUAAUCCCAAAAAGCCGGUCUCAGUUCGGAUUGGGGUCUGCAACUCGACCCC
rnacentral:rRNA from 1 species